rnacentral:tRNA from 1 species
GCUAGAAUAGCAAAGGGGUAAAUGCAAUAGAUUUAGGAUUUAUUAUCAAAGGUUCAAUUCCUUUUUUUAGUU